GGCGUGGCGAGGCAGCUGGGCAAGAGGGCGUGACCUGUCGCCAGGACACAUGCGCAGAACAGCGUGGCAGCUCCAGAUGGGCCGGCCCGGGUCUGAAGUCAGAGCGGGCCGUGAAGACUGCGGCGGGUUGGGGGUUGGGCUGCGGCCCCUGGGAGCCCCGCGUGGGGCCCAGCGCCCCUCGCUCCCACAACGGCUGCCCACACUCGCGCCGCCUUUAACAACUCUCUCCGAUUGAACCCAAGCUGUCCUGGCUGGGCUCAGUUCCGUGGUCCUCCUCCCUCAGCCUUCCAGAAGGCUGGACUCAGGUGUACACCACCCGACCAGGCUUUAGUCAUUGUUUGUAUCGUGGAUCCUCAUUCUUAUCCAUAAAGAUCACCAACGUAGUUCACCAGGACUAUCCGCUCCAGAGAGAGGCCAAGUUUCAAAGUUGGAAACUCUACCACAUACAGCAAACCCACCUUUGCUUUGUGAAUACUGGAAUAAAUUAACCCUUCGGGAUAAGAGACAGACACAGCUUCCUGAAGUGCCGAAGGUUCCGGACAAGAACGCACAGAGCCACCCUGGUCCGCAGGACAGGGGCGGAGCUGCUUGGUUUGCCAGAAGCAGGGCCUGGUGAGUGUCCCAGCCGGGCGCAGCUGGGAAUAGAGCUUCACUCCCACGGGCGGAAACUGCCGCACCCCUCCCACGGCCCCUGGCACGCGGCGUCUCCUCGUGGAAAUAGAAAGCCGAUGACGUCACCGAGUCACCCACACACCCAGAUGGGAGACUGUGCAGGCCAGACGCAAACGCUCCCGCGAGGGCGUGGCUUUGAGGCUCCGCCUUCUCCGCUGUGAUGCAGGAACAUGGUGACCUGAUUGGGUGGUGGUAUAAUGAGAUGCAAGGCACGCCUCCUUUCUAGGUUAGCUCCACCCAAGCCUUAGCCCUGUCCCCAGUUGUCACCAGCUUUUAGGCUCUGUGAUUGUCACUGCUACUUAGGGUCACGGAGUGGAGUGCACGCCAGCCUGACAACCAAGCUACACUCGGCUGUCAGUGGCGUCGCCACCAGAGCUUUUAAAAUAGAGCAUUUCAAUUGUUUGGGGGGUUUUGUUUUUUGUUUGAUACAGGGUCUCAC